ensembl:rRNA 5S_rRNA 5S ribosomal RNA
AUCCACGGCCAUGCCUCCCUGAAGGCGCCCCAUCUGCCCUGAUCUCGGAAGCACACAGGGUCGGGCCCGGUUCGUACCCGGAUGGGAGGAAGUGGGCUAAUAUGCCUGAGGGCUGCUUGCUGUGUGGU